CCACGCUGUACUGUGGAUCAUGUGAAAUGUUCCCAACCCAGGCUCAUAAAUCAGCCGGGAGCACAAACACACAACAGUGCCCUGGCUUCGUCUUCACCUCCAGGGGCAUUGCUGUGAAGAGGCCUCUACUGGGAAAGCUCCGAUGCACGGCACCCACAGCCGUGAGAAUCCCCCGAUGUCCACUGAGGGGGCAGGAGCGGGGCAUUCCCGGCCGCCACACAGUGACCUCCUCAGAAGGGCCACCAAGCCUGGACAGAGGGAGAACUUGUCUCCAAGUUGGGCAGUGAUCAGCAACACAUCGUUUCUGGUUGGACCCAGGAGGUAAGCAGCAUUUUGUUUAACAGGAAGACAAGACCUGUCUCUACAAGGGAAUGUGCAUUAUGAAAUCCUCAGAGCAAAGCCGCUUGCUCACCUGUCACAGACACACCAAGACAGGGUUUCUGCUCAAAGUCCAAAGAUUACACGCCAUAUGCAAUCGUGAAGAGCAGGAGAGCUGUGUUCAACUCCACCACUCAGAGGACAGGGCUGACAGGAGGCUUGUCCCUGCCAUCUGUCGAAAUGUCCUGACGCCCUUAUGUCUCUCACUACCAACGCCAACGGCAAAGGAAACUCUCAAGACAACAUGGAAAGAACCUACCUCUCUUUGCAAACUGGCCUCUCGAUUCUGCUGAAAGAGAGAAAGCCAUGGUGUUUCACCCUCACCAAGCCUCUUUGGAGGCUGAGAGAAAGAGAAAAGGCCUGCUUUAGGGAAAGGCCACGUGUCAAGACCACAUCACUGCAUUAAUGCAGGUAACUGAGGGGAACUGGCCCUCAUGAAACAAUGCCCUGUGAAGCAACAUUGGUGCCAAGUGAUGUCUUUCUGCUGGUCUUUUAUAGCAAGCCAACCUCUCCCACUUAGGCUGCAGUUUGGACUUGGCUCACUAAGGACCGAUCCUCUUCCCAACUCCAUAUCUUUUGUCUAAUGAAAGAUGACCUUUUUUAAAGUGAAUCUUCCCAUACUUUAUCACACCCGCCCACAACUUAAGAUUCUAGGUUUAUGUGUUAAAAGAAAAAUAGCACUACACGGAUUGGCAUGUUCCCAACUUGUCUCCAGAUGGCACAUACAGAGUCUGGGCCCACUUGCCGGAUGAGGGAAGGGGUGGGAAAGGUGAAUGAACCUGCAAUCCUGUGUGUGGGAGCCAUAUCCAGGAGGUGGCUCUGUUUUUUACCCCCCUGGAGUAGAUCCAGAUCAUUUCAUGAUGUCUAGAAUUUGUUUUAAAAUAUUUCAGAAGAAAGGGAAGGCAUAAAGCAAGUGUGGCAAAAUCGUGAUAACUUCUGAGUCCUGAGUGGGAGUGUGUCGGUUUGGGUUCCCCGAAGCCAGCUCUGACACAGGAAUUGGGAGGUGACCCAGAAACACAUGAGGGAGACAGGAAGUGAGUCAGGGGAGGAAAGAAAGCAAAAUGUAGGGGUUUAAGGAAUGGACAUCUGAACACUCUAAGAGACUGCAGGACCUCCAAGAGCCAUUCCUCGAGGGCAAAGAGGCAGGGGUCUUUGUUAGCCAAUUCUGCCCCUCUGGCCAGCUGAUGGCAGCCCCUGGGGUGUCUGGCCAGCCUUGCGCUCAGGCUGUUUCACAGCAGGGCAGGACCAUCAGCACCCAAGGGAACUGUGCUGGGACCUGCCAAGACCAAGGGCGUGGGCUGGGCACAGUGGCCUCUGCUACAGCAGGAAUACCUGCAUUCAUUGUG
rnacentral:lncRNA from 10 species